GGUUAAGCAACUAAGCGUACACGGUGGAUGCCCUGGCAGUCAGAGGCGAUGAAGGACGUGCUAAUCUGCGAUAAGCGUCGGUAAGGUGAUAUGAACCGUUAUAACCGGCGAUUUCCGAAUGGGGAAACCCAGUGUG
rnacentral:rRNA from 1 species